UCUUGUGGGGGAUAACCAGUCGAAAGACUGGCUAAUACCGCAUGAGAUCGAGAGAUGAAAGCAGGGGACCGCAAGGCCUUGCGCGAGAGGAGCGGCCGAUGCCGGAUUAGCUAGUUGGUGGGGUAACGGCCUACCAAGGCGACGAUCCGUAGCUGAUCUGAGAGGAUGAUCAGCCACACUGGGACUGAGACACGGCCCAGACUCCUACGGGAGGCAGCAGUGGGGAAUCUUGGACAAUGGGCGCAAGCCUGAUCCAGCCAUGCCGCGUGAGUGAAGAAGGCCUUAGGGUUGUAAAGCUCUUUUGCCAGGGACGAUAAUGACGGUACCUGGAGAAUAAGCCC
rnacentral:rRNA from 1 species